UCCACAUUCGGAUCGUCGGUCUAGCGAGCAAUUUCACCAUCUAGGUGGAAGGUCUUCCCUUUGUCGU
rnacentral:pre_miRNA from 1 species